rnacentral:rRNA from 1 species
AAUAGAUACCCGGGUAGUCCACGCCGUAAACGAUGAGUGCUAAGUGUUAGAGGGUUUCCGCCCUUUAGUGCUGCAGCUAACGCAUUAAGCACUCCGCCUGGGGAGUACGGCCGCAAGGCUGAAACUCAAAGGAAUUGACGGGGGCCCGCACAAGCGGUGGAGCAUGUGGUUUAAUUCGAAGCAACGCGAAGAACCUUACCAGGUCUUGACAUCCUCUUGACCUCCCUAGAGAUAGGGAUUUCCCUUCGGGGACAGGAGUGACAGGUGGUGCAUGGUUGUCGUCAGCUCGUGUCGUGAGAUGUUGGGUUAAGUCCCGCAACGAGCGCAACCCUUGACCUUAGUUGCCAGCAUUUAGUUGGGCACUCUAAGGUGACUGCCGGUGACAAACCGGAGGAAGGUGGGGAUGACGUCAAAUCAUCAUGCCCCUUAUGACCUGGGCUACACACGUGCUACAAUGGAUGGUACAAAGGGCUGCAAGACCGCGAGGUCAAGCCAAUCCCAUAAAACCAUUCUCAGUUCGGAUUGUAGGCUGC